UAGGGAAUCUUCGGCAAUGGGGGCAACCCUGACCGAGCAACGCCGCGUGAGUGAAGAAGGUUUUCGGAUCGUAAAGCUCUGUUGUAAGUCAAGAACGGGUGUGAGAGUGGAAAGUUCACACUGUGACGGUAGCUUACCAGAAAGGGACGGCUAACUACGUGCCAGCAGCCGCGGUAAUACGUAGGUCCCGAGCGUUGUCCGGAUUUAUUGGGCGUAAAGCGAGCGCAGGCGGUUUGAUAAGUCUGAAGUUAAAGGCUGUGGCUCAACCAUAGUUCGCUUUGGAAACUG
rnacentral:rRNA from 1 species